rnacentral:rRNA from 1 species
UACGUAGGGUGCGAGCGUUGUCCGGAAUUAUUGGGCGUAAAGAGCGUGUAGGCGGUUUGGUAGGUCCGCUGUGAAAACUCGAGGCCCAACCUCGAGACGCCGGUGGAAACCAUCAGACUAGAGUCCGGAAGAGGAGAGUGGAAUUCCUGGUGUAGCGGUGAAAUGCGCAGAUAUCAGGAAGAACACCCGUGGCUAAGGCGGCUCUCUAGUACGGUACUGACGCUGAGACGCGAAAGCGUGGGGAGCGAACAGG